UGCUUCAUAGAGUAAAUAAACUCGUUGGGUUGCAAACCCUAAGAUAUAGAAUAACAUCUGUUGAGGCAU
rnacentral:tRNA from 1 species